rnacentral:rRNA from 1 species
GAGUUUGAUCCUGGCUCAGGGCGAACGCUGGCGGCGGGCCUAACACAUGCAAGUCGUACGCGGGUUCUCCUUUCGGGAGAACUGCCGAGUGGCGAACGGGUGCGUAACGCGUAGGUAACCUGCCCUCGAGUGGGGGAUAACUCCGGGAAACCGGGGCUAAUACCGCAUAUUGUCCCGGGACCGCAUGGCUCCGGGAUGAAAGCCCUCUGGGCGCUCGAGGAUGGGCCUGCGUCGGAUUAGCUAGUUGGUGGGGUAACGGCCCACCAAGGCGACGAUCCGUAGCUGGUCUGAGAGGACGACCAGCCACACUGGCACUGAGACACGGGCCAGACUCCUACGGGAGGCAGCAGUGGGGAAUCUUGGGCAAUGGGCGAAAGCCUGACCCAGCCACGCCGCGUGGAGGAUGAAGCUCUUCGGGGUGUAAACUCCUUUUCUGGGGGAAGAAAUCCCGGCUCUGGUCGGGACUGACGGUACCCCAGGAAUAAGCGCCGGCUAACUCCGUGCCAGCAGCCGCGGUAAUACGGAGGGCGCAAGCGUUGCCCGGAAUCACUGGGUGUAAAGGGUGCGUAGGCGGGGCUGUAAGUCAGAGGUGAAAGCCUCCGGCUCAACCGGAGAAUUGCCUCUGAUACUGCAGCUCUUGAGUCCCGGAGAGGCCGCUGGAAUUCCUGGUGUAGCGGUGAAAUGCGUAGAUAUCAGGAGGAACACCGGAGGCGAAGGCGGGCGGCUGGACGGGGACUGACGCUGAGGCACGAAAGCGUGGGGAGCAAACAGGAUUAGAUACCCUGGUAGUCCACGCCGUAAACGAUGGAUGCUCGGCGUUGCCGCCUUCGGGCGGCAGUGCCUAAGCUAACGCGGUAAGCAUCCCAC